UACGUAGGGUGCGAGCGUUAAUCGGAAUUACUGGGCGUAAAGUGUGCGCAGGCGGCGUCGCAAGUCGAGUGUGAAAGCCCCGGGCUUAACUUGGGAAUUGUGCUCGAAACUACGAUGCUGGAGUGUGGCAGAGGAAGGUGGAAUUCCACGUGUAGCGGUGAAAUGCGUAGAGAUCCGGAAGAACACCGGUGGCGAAGGCGGCCUGCUGGGCAGUUUAGCUGACACUGAGGCGCGACAGCGUGGGGAGCAAACAGG
rnacentral:rRNA from 1 species